rnacentral:rRNA from 1 species
AACUCUGGUAUUGAUUGGUGCUUGCAUCAUGAUUUACAUUUGCCUGAGUGGCGAACUGGUGAGUAACACGUGGGAAACCUGCCCAGAAGCGGGGGAUAACACCUGGAAACAGAUGCUAAUACCGCAUAACAACUUGGACCGCAUGGUCCGAGUUUGAAAGAUGGCUUCGGCUAUCACUUUUGGAUGGUCCCGCGGCGUAUUAGCUAGAUGGUGGGGUAACGGCUCACCAUGGCAAUGAUACGUAGCCGACCUGAGAGGGUAAUCGGCCACAUUGGGACUGAGACACGGCCCAAACUCCUACGGGAGGCAGCAGUAGGGAAUCUUCCACAAUGGACGAAAGUCUGAUGGAGCAACGCCGCGUGAGUGAAGAAGGGUUUCGGCUCGUAAAACUCUGUUGUUAAAGAAGAACAUAUCUGAGAGUAACUGUUCAGGUAUUGACGGUAUUUAACCAGAAAGCCACGGCUAACUACGUGCCAGCAGCCGCGGUAAUACGUAGGUGGCAAGCGUUGUCCGGAUUUAUUGGGCGUAAAGCGAGCGCAGGCGGUUUUUUAAGUCUGAUGUGAAAGCCUUCGGCUCAACCGAAGAAGUGCAUCGGAAACUGGGAAACUUGAGUGCAGAAGAGGACAGUGGAACUCCAUGUGUAGCGGUGAAAUGCGUAGAUAUAUGGAAGAACACCAGUGGCGAAGGCGGCUGUCUGGUCUGUAACUGACGCUGAGGCUCGAAAGUAUGGGUAGCAAACAGGAUUAGAUACCCUGGUAGUCCAUACCGUANACGAUGAAUGCUAAGUGUUGGAGGGUUUCCGCCCUUCAGUGCUGCAGCUAACGCAUUAAGCAUUCCGCCU